UACAGAGGGUGCGAGCGUUGUCCGGAUUUAUUGGGCGUAAAGAGCUCGUAGGCGGCCUGUCGCGUCGGUUGUGAAAGCCCGGGGCUCAACCCCGGGUCUGCAGUCGAUACGGGCAGGCUAGAGUUCGGUAGGGGAGAUCGGAAUUCCUGGUGUAGCGGUGAAAUGCGCAGAUAUCAGGAGGAACACCGGUGGCGAAGGCGGAUCUCUGGGCCGAUACUGACGCUGAGGAGCGAAAGCGUGGGGAGCGAACAGG
rnacentral:rRNA from 1 species